UGGGGAAUUUUGCACAAUGGGCGCAAGCCUGAUGCAGCGACGCCGCGUGAGGGAUGAAGGCCUUCGGGUUGUAAACCUUUUUCGCUCAUGGUCAAGCCGCAGCUUUGGGUUGUGGUGAGGGUAGUGGGUAAAGAAGCGCCGGCUAACUACGUGCCAGCAGCCGCGGUAAUACGUAGGGCGCGAGCGUUGUCCGGAAUUAUUGGGCGUAAAGCGCGCGCAGGUGGUUUAGAAAGUCUGAUGUGAAAGCCCACGGCUCAACCGUGGAGGGUCAUUGGAAACUAAUAAACUUGAGUGCAGGAGAGAAAAGUGGAAUUCCUAGUGUAGCGGUGAAAUGCGUAGAGAUUAGGAGGAACACCGGUGGCGAAAGCGGCUUUUUGGCCUGCAACUGACACUGAGGCGCGAAAGCGUGGGGAGCAAACAGG
rnacentral:rRNA from 1 species